rnacentral:rRNA from 1 species
GACGAACGCUGGCGGCGUGCUUAACACAUGCAAGUCGAACGGAAAGGCCCUGCUUUUGUGGGGUGCUCGAGUGGCGAACGGGUGAGUAACACGUGAGUAACCUGCCCUUGACUUUGGGAUAACUUCAGGAAACUGGGGCUAAUACCGGAUAGGAGCUCCUGCUGCAUGGUGGGGGUUGGAAAGUUUCGGCGGUUGGGGAUGGACUCGCGGCUUAUCAGCUUGUUGGUGGGGUAGUGGCUUACCAAGGCUUUGACGGGUAGCCGGCCUGAGAGGGUGACCGGCCACAUUGGGACUGAGAUACGGCCCAGACUCCUACGGGAGGCAGCAGUGGGGAAUAUUGCACAAUGGGCGGAAGCCUGAUGCAGCAACGCCGCGUGCGGGAUGACGGCCUUUGGGUUGUAAACCGCUUUCGCCUGUGACGAAGCGUGAGUGACGGUAAUGGGUAAAGAAGCGCCGGCUAACUACGUG